rnacentral:rRNA from 1 species
GAUGAACGCUGGCGGCGUGCCUAAUACAUGCAAGUCGAGCGAACAGACGAGGAGCUUGCUCCUCUGACGUUAGCGGCGGACGGGUGAGUAACACGUGGAUAACCUACCUAUAAGACUGGGAUAACUUCGGGAAACCGGAGCUAAUACCGGAUAAUAUAUUGAACCGCAUGGUUCAAUAGUGAAAGACGGUUUUGCUGUCACUUAUAGAUGGAUCCGCGCCGCAUUAGCUAGUUGGUAAGGUAACGGCUUACCAAGGCAACGAUGGGUAGCCGACCUGAGAGGGGGGGCGGGGACGCGGGAGGGGAGGCGGGGUCGGGGCGCCGGGGGGAGGCGGCAGUAGGGAAGCGGCCGCAAUGGGGGAGAGCCUGACGGAGCAGGGCGGGGGGAGUGAUGAAGGUCUUGGGAUCGUAAAACGCUGUUAGUAGGGGAGAACAAAUGUGUAAGUAACUAGGCACGUCGUGACGGUACCUGAUGAGAAAGCCACGGCUAACUACGUG